rnacentral:lncRNA from 1 species
UUCGAUUCAGGGUACAAUCAACCAGACUGCAGCACAAUUUUUGCUUCAGAGGAGAACAUCACAUCACUUGCUUCAUUAAUAAACAACAAAAAUGACCAAAAAACUGUGAACAAAGAAACUGAGUACAUCUAACAAUGCUAAUAUUUCCGACGAAUUUACACCGGACAUAAAGAUUGCUAUUACGACUUUACGAGUAGUCAACAUGUACUCGAUAACGCUACAUGUUCUAAUCAUAGGCGACAUGAGCCAUUUCUUCUUGUUUUGAAUAUCUCCAAGAUGUUGAAUCAUCUGGCAUGGAUUUUGAAGAGCCCUGCAACUACAUAUAGUUCAAUGUCAAAUGAGAUCAAAUAGCUCAUUAUGUUUCAGAAUACUAUAUACUGAAAUAAAACCAAAAUGUUGUAGAUAUUGUGUUCAAUUUGUUUGUUGGGAAGCAGAGCAUCCUUGGCAAAUGAAAACAUACUUGCUAAAUUAGCAAAACUAUAUUAAAUUAUAUCAUGAAAAACAAGAUUGACGAGAAAAGGCAACAGAAAAACAACUUUGUUCACUCUCUUGCUAAUUUCACUCUCCUCUAUGAAAUCACAUCAACCAAUAUGGACGAGAGCUAUUUAUUCAAUGGAUGAACAGGCUAGAUGUAAGCUGCUACCUAGGAAAAUAAACACUUCUCUGCCGUCAAAUUUGCAGAUUAAUACCCACCUUGUUUAAUUUAAGAGCAGAAUUAUUCUCAACAGAUAAUCAUCAAGAGGAUCUGUCAUGAACACUUUUAAGCAAGUUUUUUCAUGAAGAGCUAUUUAUUUAGUGGAUGAACUUUUCUGCCCCCAAAAUAAACACUUUCAGGACGUUUGUUUAUGAAGAGGAUCUGGACUGUACUUGACCAGUAUCAAUCAACUCAGAAUAUUCUAUCCUACUCAAAAUCUAUCUGCUGCAUAAUCAUCAUCAUCACGUCAAUUCAAAGACAAUAGCACGAUAAAGGGUUUCCCCCCGCUUUAUAUUAUAAAGCAAACACCCGAUACAUCCAGCUCGCUGGGGCCGCAGCACAGAAAAGCCCAAAAAAUAAAGACGAAGAAAGAGAAAUAAAUGUUGACACCGGCACAUCAAUGAAGAAAGGAAGACCGGCAACCGCUGCACCCUUCGAAGUACCACCACGCUCCCAGCAUCCCGAAGCGCCGCGCACCAAGCAACACCUUGAAGAAGUAAUGCAACGAUGCCGCCACUGUUGCCCGAACAAGUUCUAGAGUUUCCCCCGAUAUGCGAGGGAUAGUGGGGAAGGGAUAUAUCCGAUGCCCCUCAGGAAGGUCCGACGGCACCCGCAGGCGUCAUCACAUUGGUCCCGGACAGGCCGACAGGGAUUUCUCCCGAUCCACAACCACCACCACCACCCCAGACACUUCGUAGUGCACCACCCACGUAGCCGCCCACCAGCAUAUGCCACCGCGGUUAUCAGACCACCCUCGCCGUCUCUCUGGAGCUGCCAACACAAGGCCUAGAGAGGGAAAGGAGACAACGGCCAUGAGAGAGAGCACUACUCGACCGGUGGGAGGGAACAACCUCCAUCGCAAGAGCGAAACCGACUGGACGCGGCGACGAGGACUUGCCAGGCCCUACAGCCCGGCCGGGCCCAUGUGGGCCCGGAUAGUCCCUGUCACCACGCUGCAACACGCCGACCAACGAAGUUCUCGCCGCCCGUAGACCGCCGUCGCCUCGCCACUGCUACCAGGAAGCAACGCGGCCGAACGUCGUGACACCGGCCCGACCCAACCCAGAUGGGGCCCAAACGGGCCUAGAUCUGGGCUCGGCGAGCGCCGCCAACCAACAGCGCCACCGCGCCGCCCCACGACUAACGGCCGCGCCGCCGCGUCGAGGGCCACCGUGGCAUGCGGCAGCGCCGCUUUCUUGCCACACCACCGCCGGCUGAAGGGCACCGCCGCCGGCCACCACCGCCCGAGCAGGGGGGAUCCGCGCGCGGGGAAGGACAGGCCCGCCGCCACAAGCAGUACCAUGCGGGCAAGGCCCAGCGGCACCCGCCGGCGGCGGCGGGAGGACGGAGGGGCGAGGGGGGCGCUGGACGAGGAACGGGGAGAAGCCCACGGUCGCCUCGCUCGAGGAGGCGACGCGGGGGAGGGGCGGGUCGGGAGGGGGGAGAGGGAGGCGGGACGCGGGCGCAGGAGACCGGCGGUCGGCGGCGGCAGGAGGGAAGGGCGGCCGGCGGCCGGCGGCGGCGGCGGGGAGUGGUGGGGAGGAACCCUAGCCAAGGAGUGGGGGAGCGGAAAGCCUUCAAAGACAAUAGCUACGAGUGGGAUACAACAAAAAAAGGAAAGAGAGGUCACCUUGGGCAGCGGCGCCCUGGGCUUGGAGGUUGGGUCUGGCGCCGACCUGGCCAUCUCGUCCAGCUGGUUCUUGAUGACGAUUGCUCAAUUGUUGAUCGAUUGAAUUUUCAUUAUCAUACAAUACUAGCAACAACUACCAAAGUUUAGCUAGUCCCAAACACGUGGAACCAUGCUGUGCAAUCUGAAUCAUUUGAUCUAACAAUUCAUCAAAAGCAAAAAUAUUCUAAGGCUGCGUUGGGUUAGCGGGUAUAGAAAACACGGAACCAGAAAACUGCAACGGAAUAUGAUUGAUUGUACAGUACCAGACCAUAGGGUUAUAGAGGAGAGGAAGAGAAGCAUGCGGGGUUCGAAGCAUUGGUGUAAAAGAAUUUGUUACUGACGAAGACUGUGUACACAGUGGCAGAUUCUACUGUGAUAUAUUUUUAUCGGCAUGUACUCUGUUAGUUUGUCUCUUUCCUCAUGCAUGACUAGUAUAGUUCAAUUUUUUAUUUGGAACCGUGGUGCCUUGCCUCGGGCAACCACCCAAAAAUGAGGUUCUACUGGAUUUGUGAAAUCCUCUUGAAUGAGCCUUCCAAGGCAAGGUUGUCUUUAAAUUUCUGUACCUAUUUCCUAUGAAACGAACGGGUCAGAGGUAGGCAAAACUACAGGUUUUCAAACCUGUAGAUUUCCUUUGAUUUUCCUGCAGACCGAACGGGGCCUAAACAUAUGACAUAGAAGUGCCAACCUCAGAAUAUUCUAAACAUAUGGAACAUCAAGGAUUUCCUUUUUCUUUCAUGGUUGACUGAAACCACUGAGGUGGUACAGUACAGUUCUGAAGUUGUAACAAUCCCGAAGCUGCUCUCUCUCAGAUGAUUUGAUUGAAGAGACAUGGGAAAUCGUAGCGAAUCAAAUGUGGUGCCCAAUUCUGGUAUCACCACUUCGUCCCCGUCUCGUUCCGCAAACCUAUGUACGGACAUCUCCAGGGCACACAUCCUAUCAGGGCAUGGUGUCCGCUCUGUUGGAUUCGCUCCCGCGCGAACCCUGCAACCAAAUCAGACCCCCCAUAGAGAGGCCGCAAUUUUAUUUUCUUAUGUUUUAACAAAGAUGAUGUAGGUCACACCACCAAAUUUCCAUAUUUUCCAAUAACUAGUGUGAAUCUGGUGUACUAGUCCAUCACAUUAAAAUUAGUUCUAGCACCCACAGCCAAAUCAAUUACUCUGCGUGCCAUUAUAUUUACGCAGCUAAUUCAGAGGAGAAUUUUGCCACUGCCAUAUCCAUGUGGCAGCAGGGAGAUGCUCCCCGCAAAAGGCUUAAAUUUUGUUGGGGUUAUUCACAGUUUCAGGAUUCUACAUUUAUUUAUGCAGACACAAGCAGGGAUUCCAGCUAUCAAUUGCCAACCUCAGACAAGCCACAAUGAAGAGUAACAUACACUAGUAACCAGGGGCGGAGCCAGCCCAGUGGGCCGCCCCGGGCCACCUUUGUAAACUGUAGCAGAUGUCUACAGUACCUGCUACAUUAUACACUGCAUAUGGGCCUCACGCCCCAGGCCUGGGCCCUGGGGGCCUGGGGCCUGGAUCUGCCCCCGCUAGUAACAUACACAUAUUCCUAGACUAUAUUACUACCUUCAUAAUGGGUAGUAACAUAAGUGUGGUAACAUGCAAACCUUCAUUUAUUAGAUUAUAGACUCAUAUUGCAUUCGGACAUGUGAUGUUACAAUAACUAGCUAAGUUACUCAAACUACCUCUCUCCUCAUUAACUGAUUGCCACAUAAGCAAAUUUGCUGAGUUGGACUCGAUGUUACUGCUGAAGUUACUCCCAUUGUGGCUAGUCUCACAGAAAGAACCGGCGGUGGCCACUGGCCAGAAUUAGGCUGUCUUUUUUCACCUCGCGCAUCUCCCAUAAACAACAUCCCAGUUUUUUCGUUAUCCACCAUUUAACCGCAUGAACCCACAGCCCGCAGGUAUCCACAUCCCGGCACCCAGACGAACAACUACUAGCCACAAACCCCCAGAAGAAAAUGCAGUUACCAUAAACACGCGUGUACAUGUUAAGCAGGGGAGGAAAUACCUUCUAAUCCACCCCAGCGCCUUCGGAUCCAGGUUGACCGCUGACUCGCCGGACUCAGCAGGAGCGUUGUCUCUGCUCCCCUCGCCACCAGGGUCGCCAUAGCUGUCGUGAGCAGACACCAACGAUCUCACAGUCCGGCGCCCCCAUAGCCAUCGAUCUCGCUCCCCUCAUCAUGAACAGAGCCGUGGGGCGACGCCCCCAACUGGAAGACCGGCAAGCUGCAGGCGGAAGCAAGAGGAACGAAAAGGACACCAUUUUUUAGCCUAGAGAUCGAUGGAAUGAGGAGAGGGGGAGGGCGAGCGGGCGGCGCGGUGGGGCGGUCCAAGAACCUGCACACAAGGAAAAUCGCCGGUGGCGUCCAUGGCUGCCGCCACCGAACCAAUCGC